UACAACUCAUAUCGAUCCGAUAUGCCGCGUCCGAGAAUGGAAUUUGCGACUAAUAAGUGGCGAGGCACCACGCGAGCAGGGAUGAGCAGCCCCGGAGGUUGUGGGCACAGCUCAAUUGGCUCAUUCCUCAAUGCUUCUCGAAAAUGAUGUCACGAACGAAAACAAUGUCGCACUCGAAAGGAGAAAACCGAGGACAGCAGAUUUUGCAGACACCUGGUUUUUAGAAAUCUUGGGAGUCCGAACAAACAGCUCUAAGAAGGCGUUGUUGCUCUCCGUGAGGAGGCAACGCAAAUGAUUCACAAUCUCCUCAGCGGAAAAAACCCUGGUGAAGAUUUCGGCAAGUCGAGUAUGUUCAAGGUACUUCGUCUCGAGCCUGGUCAAGGAGGAGUUGCUCAGUGAACUACUAGUUUGACUUCCCUGAGAAGACACCACUGACAUCACCUACAGUGCCGAGGUACAGGCUUAAUGGCAGAUAUGAAUAGAAGUUGAUGGUAUGCGUCACGUCUGUUUGGUUGGACAGCCACCGAGUUGACUCGGAUGUCAGCGGCCGUUGUCGUUAGAACCUGGUUCUUGUGCUGCCACAUCAUUUUUGGUGGUGGCGCUGUCGUCACCUCCAACGCUUGCGCUCCCCGUGUUCCCAUUCAAGAUGGUGCUGCCACGGACUUUGGCUCGUGGGGGUAUCGUCGCUACUGACAAAGCUUGUGCCCCCUGUUGUCCCUGCUGAAAUGGCGGCUGGAACUUGGAGAGGGUUCGCUGCCACAGCCGCCUUGAUGUGGACAUGGAGGCCGGUGUGAGAGACUUAAUGUGCCUCUGGCACACCUGCCCGGCGAAAGAACUCAUGGAUGCGCCACAUGGAAAGUGAGCAGACUGUGCAAGUCUCUUUUACAAAAUGGCGCUAACAAUAGGUAAUGUCUGAAUCGUUCUUGUCUUACGUAAGUGAUACCUUCUAGGCGUAAUGUGUUAAUAGAUAGCUACGGUGUUAUUGCUUAACUCUGAAUAAGAUACACAGUAUGAGAAAUUUUCAGGCCAAGUAAAAAAUUUCUGCUCACUUUAAUCUUGAA